AUUGAACGCUGGCGGAAUGCUUUACACAUGCAAGUCGAACGGCAGCACGGGGCAACCUGGUGGCGAGUGGCGAACGGGUGAGUAAUACAUCGGAACGUGCCCAAUCGUGGGGGAUAACGUAGCGAAAGUUACGCUAAUACCGCAUACGAUCUACGGAUGAAAGCGGGGGAUCGCAAGACCUCGCGCGAAUGGAGCGGCCGAUGUCAGAUUAGGUAGUUGGUGGGGUAAAGGCUCACCAAGCCAACGAUCUGUAGCUGGUCUGAGAGGACGACCAGCCACACUGGAACUGAGACACGGUCCAGACUCCUACGGGAGGCAGCAGUGGGGAAUUUUGGACAAUGGGGGCGAACCCUGAUCCAGCCAUGCCGCGUGAGUGAAGAAGGCCUGUGUAGUACGCUUCUACGUCGGAACGGAAACGAACGAACGAC
rnacentral:rRNA from 1 species